rnacentral:rRNA from 1 species
AUUGAACGCUGGCGGCAUGCUUUACACAUGCAAGUCGAACGGUAACAGGGAGCUUGCUCCGCUGACGAGUGGCGAACGGGUGAGUAAUAUAUCGGAACGUACCCAAGAGUGGGGGAUAACGUAGCGAAAGUUACGCUAAUACCGCAUACGAUCUAUGGACGAAAGUGGGGGAUCGCAAGACCUCAUGCUCCUGGAGCGGCGGAUAUCUGAUUAGCUAGUUGGUGAGGUAAAGGCUCACCAAGGCGACGAUCAGUAGCUGGUCUGAGAGGACGACCAGCCACACUGGAACUGAGACACGGUCCAGACUCCUACGGGAGGCAGCAGUGGGGAAUUUUGGACAAUGGGCGCAAGCCUGAUCCAGCAAUGCCGCGUGAGUGAAGAAGGCCUUCGGGUUGUAAAGCUCUUUUGUCAGGGAAGAAACGGGAGUGGCUAAUAUCCAUUCCUAAUGACGGUACCUGAAGAAUAAGCACCGGCUAACUACGUGCCAGCCGCCGCAGUAA